rnacentral:rRNA from 1 species
AUUGAACGCUGGCGGAAUGCUUUACACAUGCAAGUCGAGCGGCAGCGCGGGGCAACCUGGCGGCGAGCGGCGAACGGGUGAGUAAUUCAUCGGAACGUACCCAGUUGUGGGGGAUAACCAGGCGAAAGCUUGGCUAAUACCGCAUACGACCUGAGGGUGAAAGCGGGGGACCGUAAGGCCUCGCGCAAUUGGAGCGGCCGAUGGCGGAUUAGCUAGUUGGUGGGGUAAAGGCCUACCAAGGCGACGAUCCGUAGCUGGUCUGAGAGGACGACCAGCCACACUGGAACUGAGACACGGUCCAGACUCCUACGGGAGGCAGCAGUGGGGAAUUUUGGACAAUGGGGGAAACCCUGAUCCAGCCAUUCCGCGUGAGUGAAGAAGGCCUUCGGGUUGUAAAGCUCUUUCGGCAGGGAAGAAACGGUCUCUCUUAAUACGGGAGAUUAAUGACGGUACCUGGAGAAGAAGCACCGGCUAACUACGUGCCAGCAGCCGCCGUAA